UACGAAGGGGCUAGCGUUGUUCGGAAUACUGGGCGUAAAGCGCGCGCAGGCGGUCUUCCAAGUCAGUGGUGAAAGCCCGGAGCUCAACUCCGGAACUGCCAUUGAAACUGUUCGGACUUGAGUACGAGAGAGGUGAGUGGAAUUCCCAGUGUAGAGGUGAAAUUCGUAGAUAUUGGGAAGAACACCGGUGGCGAAGGCGGCUC
rnacentral:rRNA from 1 species